UACAGAGGGUGCGAGCGUUAAUCGGAAUUACUGGGCGUAAAGCGUGCGUAGACGGUUAUUUAAGUCAGGUGUGAAAACUCCAGGCUCAACCUGGAGACGCCACCUGAUACUGCUGUGGCUAGAGUCCGGUAGGGGAGCAUGGAAUUCCUGGUGUAGCGGUGAAAUGCGCAGAUAUCAGGAGGAACACCAGUGGCGAAGGCGGUGCUCUGGGCCGGAACUGACGCUGAGGAGCGAAAGCGUGGGGAGCAAACAGG
rnacentral:rRNA from 1 species